rnacentral:rRNA from 1 species
UACGGGGGGGGCAAGCGUUGUUCGGAAUUACUGGGCGUAAAGGGCUCGUAGGCGGCCAACUAAGUCGGACGUGAAAUCCCCAGGCUCAACCUGGGAACUGCGUCCGAUACUGGAUGGCUUGAAUCCGGGAGAGGGAUGCAGAAUUCCAGGUGUAGCGGUGAAAUGCGUAGAUAUCUGGAGGAAUACCGGUGGCGAAGGCGGCUUCCUGGACCGACACUGACGCUGAGGCGCGAAAGCUAGGGGAGCAAACGGG